UACGUAGGGUGCGAGCGUUAAUCGGAAUUACUGGGCGUAAAGCGUGCGCAGGCGGUUUUGUAAGCCAGAUGUGAAAGCCCCGGGCUUAACCUGGGAAUGGCAUUUGGGACUGCAAGGCUUGAGUGCGGCAGAGGAGACUGGAAUUCCUGGUGUAGCAGUGAAAUGCGUAGAUAUCAGGAGGAAUACCGAUGGCGAAGGCAGGUCUCUGGGCUGACACUGACGCUCACGCACGAAAGCGUGGGGAGCAAACAGG
rnacentral:rRNA from 1 species